CUGCCCACCCCUCCCUACACCUGGACUCCUCUGGGGUGGUCUGUCUGCCUAUUUGGUGAAACCCCAGGGUUCUGCUUUUGCAGGAGGAAGGCAUGUCCCCAGAAGAGCUCCACCUUCUCUCUCCCAGAUACCCCUCUCUCCCAGCCCGGGGAGGAACCAGAAACUGGGAGGCGGGCCACUGAGGCCCAUUCCCGCCGGCCUGGCAGCCAAGCCACCUUCGCCCCAGGAGCCCUCCCAGCCUUCCAAGGAGCAGCAGCUCCGGGCCCAGAGCGGGGACCCAGGGGCGAACAGACGGUCCCUGCUCCGCUGUGGCUGGUUUCCGAGCAGGGUGUCCCGCCUGGACCCACCCCAGGUGCCGACUGUGUCUGGAAGGGAGCUUUCUCGUCGUUCGGUUUGGGUGUAAUUUACAUGCAGAGAAACGCACCCUUUCCUGUGCACCCUUCUGAGAGCCAGGACACGUCUGUGCGGCCGUAUGAGCGUCCAGCUCUAGCCCCAGCCAACACCCGCAGGCUGGCCUGCGCCCUUUAAGGUCAGCCUGCCCCACCCCAGCUGCUGGAGGCGGGUCACCGCCCUCUCUGCCCGGCGGGCGGCCCCAUGAGUGGAACCGGACAGCGCGUGGUCCUCGGGGCCCAGCGGGCACCAGAGGCUGGACUCGGCCCUGCAGCCUCUUCGCUGCUCGGAGGCACUCCCCGCUGGCCUGGCCUCCGGCGAUCCGCUCCCCAGACGGGGACAUUCGUGCUUUCUCUAGCUUUUGCUCGGCCAAGAUCUAAAACGGUUUCUCAGCCCAGAACAGGCUUCACGGCCCCCGGCUCCAGAACAGAGCCCCUUGCACAUGGACCUCUGUGUGCUGACAUGUGGGCCACCGUGAGAAUCCCUGGGGUGGGCAGUGAGGCUUGGGGACCCCGAGUUUCCAGCUGGGGGGCUGUAGGACCCUGGCCCCUGCACGCCCCUUUACUUGGCCAGUUGCGGUGGCUACAGGGCCGCCUAGAAUCUCAGCCCUUUUGUAAAUGAGGUGAUGGGAUCCCAGGUCCUGAGGAGGCCUAAGGGCGGGCUGCUGCCCCCGCGGCGCCCCCCAACCCCCCCACCACCACCUCGGGCGGGCAGCACGCAGGGGCCGUGCCCGCCCUGGCCCAGGCCUUCCAGCCAGAAGACGAUGGAAUGAAUGAUGUUUCCCAGCAGCCAAUGAACUGAGCGCGAACUCGGUCGGGCGAGGCGGGGAGGACCACGGGGAGAGGCCCCUCUCUCAGCCUCUCAGGCCGACCAGCAGCCCACGAGCAUCCCUUUGCUCCCCAGGGAGGGCUGCCCGUGGGGAGAUCACUCAGACCCCGAUACCAUCGCUGCGGGACAGGCGGAGACUGGAGUGUCCCCGGUGCCUGGUCGCGCCAGCAGCCGCUGGCUCAAGGACAUUAGCGGCCAGCGUAAUGGCCCGAAUUCAGCUCCCCUGGCAGCCCCGUGACCUUGGCAGCUCGGAGCCCGUGGCUGUUUUAAUGAAAAAUCAAGGAGCUGGGGAAUGGCUGCGGCUUGCAGCGGGGGAGAGGGGGAGGGCCCUGUGUGGUGGCCCUCCGUCCAUCUGUCCACGCCAGCUGCAGGCCACCCUGCCCCCACUGCGGGCCAGCCGGCCACGCUGGACCUCUCGUGAUGGGGCCGGGGAGCCCUGAAGGGACAGAGAUCCCCACGGCCAGGGACCUUGGGUCCAAGCUGUGAUGAGGAGCUGGGGACACAUCUGGGGACCUCGGUGGAGUUGGGGAGGGGAGAUCAACAACAGCUGAUACUUCGGGGGGUAAGGGAGCCCCUCGGGGUUGUCCUCAGCGUGCCAGUCCGCUCCGUCCAGCCUGGGCCAAGGUGCCCACUGGCCACCCACUCCCAGCCUCGGUUUCCCCACCUGGAAUAGCUCGGCCCCUCUGGCUCCCCCAGGAAGAACCAUCAGCUUCAGUGAAGACCUGCCAUGCGUGCCCACUGUCCCCCCAGCAGCCCAUGACCCCAGGCCGUCGACACCCCAUUUUCAGAUGAGGAAACUGGAGUGACCCCCCCCCCAGAUUGUACAACAAAGUGCGCCCCCUCCCACCGUCCUGGGCUGAUGGACGGGCGAUGACGAACCAGGCCAGCCACCGCAGGAAAUCACGGGAAACCCUGGCUCAGCCCCUCCUGCUGCGUCUUUGCUCUGUACUCACCCUUCCGCGGCCUCUCCCGGGAUUCGGCAGACGGAGCGCUCAGAUUCAGCUGCUUCAAGCGCAGCCCAGAAGGGCCACUGCCCUGCAGCCUGCUGCCAUCUCCUCACUCCGAGCGGCCCCCCUCCCUGAGCGUGCAUGCACCUGAGCGGCUUCCCUGGGGACCGUCGGUCCCACUCUGAGAGCAGAGAGGAGACAAAUGCUGACUGAAAAACGACGCACAAUUUGAGAGUUAUUCCCUGGAGCCCAGAGCAUCUCACUCCACCCUGAACUCCCUCAGGGUUGUUGAAGGUCAACAGCUAUAGCAGCCCAGGGUUCAGUCUCCAGAGAGGCAGAUGGCAAAGGCCUUUGCUGCUCAGUCAUUGGCGAUGCUCUUGUCUUUGUGAACAAGACACGCAACUCCAUUGCCAUUCCCCUGAUGGGAAUACUGAGGCCUGAAGAGUUCCCUUGGCGCCCUUGGCAUCCUGCCGCCUGAAGGGUGCCUGCUGGAUCCACGCCACUCACACUCCACACCCCGACCAUCGCUGGGGACCCCUCACCCACACAGCCUGUGCCCUCACCCCCAUAAGAAGGCUCAGACGGUCCCACCUCCUCCCUGAAGGUGAUACGUCCCUGGAACCGGCAUCUUUGUGGUCUCUUUCUUUCUUUCUCCUGGAAAACCGCAUGCAGUAGGUACUCAAAAAUGCUGACCUACUAGAUAACUUAUGGAGCCACAGAGAGACUGCUCCCUACAGGAGGGCUGGAGACCAGGCACCCACGAGUUCCCGGGGCCCACGGAGAAGGGGCAGGCGGGGCCGGGGAGGGACGGGAGCCACCACUCACGGGGGCCCCAAGGCCUGGCCGAGCCAGCGGCUCACGCUCCGUCUCCGCACAGCCUUCAGGAGCCCUGUGGCAGCGCGGAGGCAGGUGGCCUCCCCAGUUAGAGACCAGGAAACCGAGGCUCCACCAGGUGAAACUACUUGAGCAGAGUCUGCAGCCUGCAAGAGGAAGAUUCUGCACUUGGCUCUCUACACCACACUGCACCAGCCCCGGGAUACCUGACAGGUGGCAGGUUGUCGACAAGCAUCAGAGGACAGAGAGCCCCAUCACAAACACAGCCGGCGCCUGCCCCAGGGGGCAAGUCCGAGGCCAGGGGGCAAGGGUCCCAGCCUCCCCGGCCCCAGCCAGCCAGAUCCAGAGCCCCGGGGGGUGUUAAUUGUCCCCCGCACACAGGGCAGACGUGAUUUAUGAAGUGGGUCUUGGACACCCUCACCUGCGUUCGGUUGAUGAAUGCAAGGUUUUGGCAGCCUCUGCCAGGCUGUAGGGCUUCCCCAGAGGCUCCGUGGUAAAGAAUCCACCGGCAGUGCUGGAGCCGUAGGAGACUCAGUUUCGAUCCCUGGGUCAGGAAGAUCCCCUGGAGGAGGACACGGCAACCUACCCCAGUAUUCCCGCCUGGAGAAUCCCCAUGGACAGAGGAGCCUGGCAGGCUACAGUCCACGGGGCCGUACAGAGUCGGACACGACCGAGUGAGCACGCUGCGUGUUUGGUCCAGAAGGACUUGCCCUUGAAGCUUCCUGCCGGCUGCCCACAGCAGCCAACAGAGAGGAGUCACCACUUGGCCGGGGGGCACACCCUCGCCCGGCCAGGCGGGGCCGUCUCUGGACCAGAGCCGGGGACACCGCCGCUGCAUGCAUGGGGGGCGGCACCGACCCUCCAGCACCUCCUGCCUGAACGGACUCGGGUGUGGAGCCCCUGGGCCGAGCCUCUCAGAGGAGAGCAAGGAGUGUGCCCCCUGAGCUGGGGGGAAGCAAGGGGCACGGGGGUGUCUCUGCUCCUCCUGGCAUCAGAGCCCUCUCCCCAAUCCAGAGCCCAGUGCGCGGCAGCCCACCUCCCCACCCUGGGACACCUGCACCCCUCUGAGGAUCCCCGUCCUCUCCACGCACCUCCGUGGUCACCUCUGGCGCCCUCUCUCAGGGACCACUCUGUGGCCCAGCUCCUGAGUUAGACCCCGAAGCCCAGACUCUGCUGCAAACCCUCUAAGGCCUCCAUCCACCAAGCCAGUCCCAACUCCUCCCUGCCAGCAGGCUGCCGUGGUUGCCACGGGCCCUUGGACCGCGCCUGGUCCAGCCCCAACCACAUCCAGCGAGGGCGGCCUCGGCUUGCCCACGUGGCUGGAGCGGCUUGCGGCAGCAGGGACAAGUGGCCGGGGACGGAUGGACAUCUCCCGUGAGCGGGACAACUUGGCUCAGACGCAGCAAGGGGAGACCCAAGAGGUCCCGGAGGGAGAGGCCCCCCACGGAGUGUGCCCGAGACCCAAGCCCAAGGAACUGCAGAUCUCACGGCAGGGGCUGCAGGGGUCUCUGCCCUGAUUGUAAGGCGACACGGGCCAAGUUUUUCCUUGCUAAGUGAAUAGCUACAGAGGUUUUAAGGAGAGAGUUGGCCCAGAGUAUUGGAGUUGCCUCUAAAGAAGACAAAGAUAGUGGACAGUCAGCAUUUUCAGGUUUGUUCUCACCCUGGAGAGCAUCUCAUGGCCCUGAAUGUCAGCCUGGACUUGCUCACGGGCGACGUGGUGAUGAAACGGGGGUGAGAGUCCAGGCUCAGGCUCCAAAUCCACCGGGAACACCCACCUCGCUGCCGGAGGCCUUGGGGCCGAGCGCACAGCUCUGCGGCAUCGCCGGGACCACGGGCUCCAUCAGCGUCAGCGGCGGGACCACCACCGCAGCAGCCGUCCCGGGUGUCACCCCGACUCCCAGGACCCCUGCAAGGCCGGGUUAGAUCCAGGGCCUCGCGAGCCCCGGUCCCCAGACUGGGCUCCGGGGGCACCAGCAUCUUCUGCCGUCAGCGACGAGCGAGAACAGGACGCGUGGCGGGCCGUCCUCUGCUCUGACUUCGUGCCCCUGUCCCUCUGUGUGGGGAACAGGUGGCCUCUGUGUCAUGGACUCGUGGUGACAGCAGCUGGAAGCUGCAUGUUUGUUCUGCUUGUUUGAGGGUCUUCCCUCCACGACGGGAGAAGCGAGCCGCUGCAGGACCCCAGAUGACCGUCCACGCUUUGCUCUGUGAGCCCGGGGAUCCCGGCCCUGGCAGGCAGCCUGUGCUGGGAUCCUGGCGUCUCCCUUGCCACCACCAACACACCAGCUCCUAUUGUGACGUGAGCAGGGCAGAGUUG